UACGGAGGGGGCUAGCGUUGUUCGGAAUUACUGGGCGUAAAGCGCACGUAGGCGGCUUUGUAAGUUAGAGGUGAGAGCCCGGAGCUCAACUCCGGAAUUGCCUUUAAGACUGCAUCGCUUGAAUCCAGGAGAGGUGAGUGGAAUUCCGAGUGUAGAGGUGAAAUUCGUAGAUAUUCGGAAGAACACCAGUGGCGAAGGCGGCUCACUGGCCUGGUAUUGACGCUGAGGUGCGAAAGCGUGGGGAGCAAACAGG
rnacentral:rRNA from 1 species